UCCCUGGUGGUCCAGUGGCUAAGACUCCACACUCCCAAAGCAGGGGGCCCAGGUUCAAUCCCUGAUCAGGGAA
rfam:TPA: Bos taurus chromosome 11, whole genome shotgun sequence.